GACGAACGCUGGCGGCGUGCCUAAUACAUGCAAGUCGAGCGGACUUUCAAGAAGCUUGCUUUUUGAAAGUUAGCGGCGGACGGGUGAGUAACACGUGGGCAACCUGCCUGCAAGACGGGGAUAACUUCGGGAAACCGGGGCUAAUACCGGAUAAUAUCUUCCUUCGCAUGAAUGAAGGUUGAAAGGCGGCUCAAGCUGCCGCUUUCAGAUGAGCCCGCGGCGACUUAGCUAGUUGUUGAGGUAACGGCUCACCAAGGCGACGAUGCGUAGCCGCCCGGAGGGGGGGAUUGGGCCCAAUGGGACUGAGAGACGGCCCAGACCCCUAAGGGAGGCAGCAGUAGGGAAUCUUCCGCAAUGGACGAAAGUCUGAAGGAGGAACGCCGGGUGAGCGAAGAAGGGCUUCGGAUCGUAAAGAUUUGGUGUCAGGGAAGAAAAAGUACCGUUCGAACAGGGCGGUACCUUGACGGUACCUGACCAGAAAGCCACGGCUAACUACGUG
rnacentral:rRNA from 1 species